rnacentral:lncRNA from 1 species
AUGCUGGGGAUGGCAACCUAGUAUCUAAGUGGUGUUAGCUAGUGUCAACAAUUACCGGUCUCUAUCACCAUGAAGUCUACUAGGGCGUACAAGGUACCAACUCGGACACAAAGGUUCUUCAAUAUUCCCUUGGUGAAACUUAUCGUCUGAUCUGCAAACUGCAAACACAUGGUUUUUUCUGAUAAAGGAUAUGUAAAGAAUUUUCCAUAGAGUACCCUGGGUAUAAUGUUGACGCUGGAGCCAAAGUCGCAGAGUGCUUCUGGGACGUCCACCAUGCCCAUGGAGAUCGGGAUGACGGGGUGUCCUGGAUCGCCUCUCUUGACCGGCAGAGGGUCAUUAGUGAAUUCAGUGACGGGGUUACUCUAAUUACCUGCAUCAAACAUGUCUACAAGAUUUGCAGAUUCUAAUCCUUCCGGUUGUGAUGGUAUACGGGGGUUAGUAGCAGGAACAGCAGCAGCUAUUUGAUUUAACUGAGAUUCAAUCAUUUUAUUAAAGCUAAUUUGAUUCUUGAUGGCAGUAGAGAAAUUAUCCAUUCUAUUAUUUAUAUUUUCUAGCAUUUUAUCAUUAGAUGCCAAUUUCUUAGAUAGGUUAUCCAUUAGCUUUCCUUGAUUAGACACUAACUCUCUUAGAGGUGAAAAAUUAUUAUUAUUGUUGUAAGAAUUGUUACCUUGAUAAUUACCUGAGUAGUCAGGCCUCUGUUGAUUCCAACCUUGAUUUUGUUG